rnacentral:lncRNA from 1 species
UGCUGUUCCCUUUGAACUGAAAAGCAACCAAAGAAGAAGCAGCGCGCGGGAAGACUCGUUUCUCAGAAACGACCAACGUGUUCAUCUCUCUCUCUUCAGGAUUAUUAAAACAACGGAGAUUUCAUCAGUAUAAUGGAGCUACUGCUAAAAACACCGACGAAAAGAAGAUGCCGAUUAAGGCGAUUUAAUCGGGGAGGCGAUUUGGCAGGAAAAAAUAAGUUCAUUCAUUCAUUUCCUUCAUGCAACAGCGGGCGGAAUUUAAGUGUGAAGGGGGAUUUGGAAAGGUGGGAUAUUUGAGUGUCUGUGGAGGCCUCUGAGAAGAGUCUGGAGACUCCUGUGCUGCUGUGAGCCUGGUGUGUAUCUGAAAGAUUUACAGUAUAU